GGGGGUGUAGCUCAGUGGUAGAGCAUAUGCUUUGCAUGCAUGAAGCCCCGGGUUCAAUUCCUGGCAUCUCCA